AGUGCGCAGUACUGGCCUUCAGCGUGCGCAGAAACUCCGUCUCAGUUGCUAUAUUGUUCUGCUCCAGCUCUUCCGAACUGCAUCGGUUCUUGUCCAACAGCAUGUUGAGCUUGCUCAGGUCGUUGUCCAGGUCCCUCAUGUGGCGGCUCACUAUCUUUUGUUCCUUCUUCUCAUGUGCAAUCUUGCCUGCAGGGGACAGGCAAGCGGAGGAUUGAAGGGUUAGGGUCCUCAGCAGGCAGCAGCCAUGCCCUCCUGUGGCUCCUUCCUAUCCGGUCUGAUUCAGCCAGGUGCUCCUCCACGGAUGGUGUGUGUGUGUGUGUGUGUGUGUGUGUGUGUGUGUGUGUGUGUGUGUGUGUGUGGUGUGCCUUGCUGCACUUUCUUUUCCAAAGCCUGGUCUCUGGAGGGAACUGCAAGGACCACGUGCUGCAGAAGCCCAGGCAGAGAGCAGAGGGGGCCUCACACCUGAUCCUCCCCAGCAGGUAGGUAGCUGCAAGGAGGAGCCAAGGGCUGCAGCGAGGGCAUGUAGCCCACCACAUCUCUGGGAAGUGGGCAAGCACAGUCGCUCCAGACAUUUCGGAGAAACCUAACUGGACCACGUGGGACCCAGGAAGUUCCAGUCACAUGCUGUAUGCUGGUGGUGACGCUGGCAGGCCCUGGGGUCUCAGAUACAGCUGCAUUUUCAUGGCUUGCUUUGCUUCUGUUUUGAAACAGGGUUUUUCUAUUUAGCCCAGGCCAGCCUCAAAUUUACAGCCUACCGACUGCUGGGAUUACGGGUGCGGGUGCGUGCUGCCUGGUCUGGGGUUCGCGUGGCUGGCAGAGCUUAGUGCUGUGUGGCCCCUUCCCCAGAGCGCCCCAGGCUCACUCUCUAUGCGAAGCUUCUUUUGUUCCAUGAUGUGCACCUCCUUCUUCAGUUGGUCCACGGACACCAGCUGCUCCUCGCGCUCAUGCGUGACCUGGACCAGUUCCUGCUGCAGGCGCAACCAGGUCAUCUGCGCCUCAGCCACUCCCGUGUUGUACUCUUCUGUCAGCUUCGACAGCCUUUUGAUCUCCAGUUCCAGGGGUCCAGCUUCUUCCCCCUGGAGGGGAGUUAAUAAAAGUGAAGCAUGAGCCUUGGGCUCCACGGGCGUGCAUUAUUAUUAUUACUUAUGUGUGGUAUGUAUAUAUAUAUAUAUAUAUAUAUAUAUAUAUAUAUAUAUGUGUGUGUGUAUAUGUGUGUGUGUGUGUGUGUAUAUAUAUAUGUGUGUGUGUGUGUGUAUAUAUAUAUAUGUGUGUGUGUGUGUCUGUGUCUGUGUGCGCGCCUGUGUAGCCAUGGAGGUAAGGUUUCCACACUGAGUGUUAGUUUGUUCAGACAGCGUCUCCUGCUGAACCUGUUACUCACUGGCUGAUUAGACUGACUGGCCAACAGGCCACAGCAAUACUACAGCCUCUUUCCCAGCUCUGGGGUGCAGAGGUCCCCUGCCUGGCUUUUACUGUGGGUGCUGGGUGGACCCACAUCUUUAUGACGACAAAGCAACUGCCUUGCCGAUUGAGCUAGCUCCCGGAAGGCCUUCUUUUGGAGGGGGCUACGGAGAACCAUGAAUCAAGGCAUUGACUCCAGGGGCUCAGAGAGUCCUCACACUUGGGACACUUCACUACAGUGAUGGGGGAAGGGAGCGGGGAGAGGGCGUGGCUCGGGGCUCUGGGCGGCGCCUCACCCCCAGCUCCGACACCAUCUGUUCCAGCUGCUUGUUGAAGAAGUUGAUGAGGCUCUGCUUCCUCUCAAUGAGGAUGGUGCGCCGGGCGAUCUCGCUCUCGCUGUUGGUGAUGAGAUCGUUGAACCUCUUUACCUCCUUGUCCAUCUCUGCCAGCGUCUUCUUAUGCAUGUCUAUUUUGCAGUUGGUGUUGGUGAUGUCCAGGGUGGCCUGGGCGAUAUCGCCGUCAAUUUUUGAAAGAUGUGUCACCUGAGGGCACGAAGGGACAUAGGUGUGAGCUUUCUCCGUCUUUGGCUGGGCUAGACUGCAGUGUCCUCGACAUUCGACUGGUAUAUGAAGAGAUCCCUGCAUGCCAUCAGGAGGAAGCUAACUGGCCCUGCAUCUCAAGGACCUUCAAGGACCACCACAAAGCACAAGGGGCCUGCUUACCCAAUGGAGACAGCGUGCAUAAAAUAAAGCAGUGUUGUGGCC
rnacentral:lncRNA from 1 species